UGACAUCGCAGCCUGAUCAAACGAAUCCUCCCAAAGUAGUAUCAAAGUCGGAAGCCGAAGGGCCAAAAGGCAGCUCCAUCUGAAUUCGAUCCCGAAUCAUUAGAAAGAGGCACGUGCCAAAGCCCUUCGAGAGAUUAACAACUCUAAAUAUGCUAAACGGGUUUUCGAAUUAAUGAGGAAGCAAGAGGAGACUCGUUUGGCUGAGCUGAAGGUUGAGAAAGCCCAAUUUCAAGCCUUCCAAGCUCAAGUUGAGAUUGUGA